rnacentral:rRNA from 1 species
UAGGUGAGAGGGGAGAGCAGGUUGUCGGCGGUGGGGGUUGGGAGAGCGAGGAAGAGUUAGAGAGCUAGGGGUUGGUGGGUCGGCGGCGGCGGUGGCAGGAGGAAGGAGAAGGGGUUGGGGCCGGCGGCCGUUGGGGAGGGAAAGGGAUGAGAGGGUGCCGGCGCCAGCCUAGGCGCGAGGGGGAGCGACUACUGGAUCUGGAUCGGCGUACCGUGCCGGUACCGGUACCGCCGCCCGUCUAGGUGGGGGAGGGGACGAAACAAGGGAGCUGCGGACCGCCAGUAGGGGGUAAUCCGGUGGGCGUCGUCGAGUGGGCGGGGAGGAGGAUGAGGGGCUGCGGCUGCGCGAGCAAGGGGCGGAAGGGGGCGGACUUGGCGGAGGAGGAGGGACGGCUAGGAAGCGAAGGGGCACCGGGAUCCGGUCGCGAAAGCCAAAGAGCCGAGGGCAUCCGCUAAGGUCGUACCACCAGCAGCCGAGGCGCCUGAGCUUCUACUUCUGCCUCCACCUCCUCUCGCUCGACCGGCUUCCGCUCCGCCAAGGUUGGAUCGGCGGCGUCACCCAGUGGUCGUGGCGCAGAGGGAGUGGAGACAGCCGGCUGUCGUGGUUCCCAACGAAAGGAGGACGGAAGUACGCACGGUCGUUGGCCCUGGACGUCGGAGGUGGUGGCCACAGCCUUAAUGCAGUCCCGUCCUUUAGUUCCCGAACGCCUUCUCUAUCCUCCAGGUACCUCUUCUACGAGACGAGGUGGAGGUUGGGUGGGACGGAGGAUGAUGUCCUUGUCCUACGGUACCUUCCAUGUCACCACGACGACCAAGGAACUCCGGCCCAGCUCAACUCCAUCCCCUAUCCUUCCAACUCGGCGAGCCCACGACUAGUACAUGUAGCCGCGAGGAAGGCCCCUGGGUUGAUUUGGUUAAUACGUUCCGAAGAGGACGACGACGUACAGAAGUAGUUGGAUCAAGAAGGUGUCCCUCUCUAGAUUUAGGAAGUGAACAAGUGACACAUUAGACGUCUAAUGAAGAAGGUAAUUAGUGGAUCACGAGGACAAUCACUGUAAGUAGAUCAUAAAAAAAACGUUUUGUACGUUACCAAACCUCAUCAAAUAGUACCGGACUACCUUUGAAGUACAACAAUCGUACAUAUAUACAUGAUGAUGUCGUCGGUCUUCGUUAGGUAAAAUAAUUUACGUAGUAGAGUAAUGUGAUCGAUGGGGUUGAACAAACCCUGAUUUCCGAAACAACAACAACAUAAGUAGAGUAAUGUGAUCGAUCGUGUUAUAUAAUCAAUUCCGUUGAGAUGAUGUAUAGUUAAAGGGGAUGACCUAACCAAGAUAUAAAAAUUUAAACAAAGCACCACGUACUCGGGUUGGAUUUCUUUAUAUCCGAAUACUACUGAUAAAAGGAAGAAUUCAUUAGUAUCAACAACCGAAGCCAUCGAACGACUUAUACAACAUCAAUAUAUAUCUUUACUGCACGGAAGAUACGAAUUUACUAACAAACCGAGAUAUAUUAACAACUGUACUUAUAGAACUGAAGGGUUUGUUCAUAUCCUAACAUGGAUACGUAUGUCUAAUAGGAUUGUUUUGACUUUUAUUUUUAACUUCGUACUUUAUUCGUUUAUUCACCGACUAAAAAUAAACGUACAAUUCGUCUUUAAACAUCUAUUCCGAACAUAUAAUGCUUUAUAACAGUGUGGAGACUCGAAGAUGACAACAAUCCCUGUAGCAUCACACUAGAAGUACUAAAAAGCGAACUUCUACAUGACUAAGUAAUAAGUUCGUCUCUGGUUUCAGUAGAAAACGAUGACAAUCGAGAUACCUACACAUAAACGGACGUUGAAGACGGUCGAGAUUGAACCAAUAUAUCGUCAAGUUAAGUCAGUUAGACAACCUUGAUCAAACAUAUAAUGAACAUAUGCUAAAGUAUAGGACGGUAUACGGUAACAGCUGAAAGAAUCCAUGUAUUAACAAUACAGAACGUUAGACCAUAACUACUAACAGUUACAUAAGUAAAUAUGGAAAGAUCACAUGGAACAUACACUGGGUCGACUAGACAUAUAGUUACGAGAUAAAGGUUAUCUACAUACGACUACGGACUACCAACUAAGGAAUUUUGAAGUGACAAAAUCGUCAUCGUAAAAAGGAAUCACGUAUCUACAUACUCGCUAGUGAAUACGAACUUUGGAACGAGAGAAAGGGUCCUUGGUAGCACCAGACAUAGUGAUGACCCCGUCCUCUCCUUCCUGACAACCACAGAGGUUCUUCUCUAUUUGACGAAGUGUUUCUAGGGGCGUAUCGAAGUGAUGAUGACACAACCAGGUAAAGGUCUUAGAAUUCCUCACAAGAACAAAUCUGCUAAUGGAACCUACUACGAAAACGAAUUCCUCUCCGAGUUCUUCUAGUCCCUCGAGGCGUAGGCUCAAAGUCGGUAGGAGAUGUCGGUCCUCGAGACCCGGUUUCCUCGUUCGUCGUGACGUUCAAGUAACUCCGGUCUAGCUCAUUCUACCGUGUGGUACCGCACACCACCACAUAAAACGAAAGCUCUUGUCAUGACAAAUAAACUUCACUCUACAUGAGCAGAUCACCGACCGUUUUUUAACUUCCUACUUCACAGUACAUGACAGACAACAUCACUCGACAACAUCCUCACUUUGCUUUUAAAUAGACGACAACAUACACGAUAAAGGGACAUUACAGAACACAUGUAAAAUGAACUUGUAAUUUAAGAAGUCUUUUUUACAAGAAUGACCUGGACU